rnacentral:misc_RNA from 1 species
GUCCAUUCUUGGAGCUGAUUUUGCAAUUCCUGGACCCUAGGAGCCAGCUCCAUAAUCAUCUCAUCUUUCUUGUCCCUUGAAACCCUCUGUGCGAGUGAUUUAUCAUAUGGCAUACCAGUAAAACUGCAAUUAGAUGCCUCGGCAUUACAAUUUGCAGAGAUUGGAGUCAAGUUGCUUUUUGAAGGCAAUGAAAGUGAUAGCUCGGUAUCAGAAGCUGCCAAUGCAGGUGGAGUAUUGAGUGUAGGUAAUGCAGGUGGGGUGUUAACCAAGGAUAGUGUAGACGGGGCAUUGGUCUCUGACAAAGAAGAAAUCAUGGUAGAAGUUCCUAGACUAGAUGAUGCUGGGGGAGAGCAUCCAGAAUUGAUUGAAAGAUUCUGGCUUCCAUUAUCUUGAGACACAUCAACUCCCAUUACCUUACUCAAUCUUAAAGAAGCAUUAUUUAUUUUUAAAGCAGAAUCUGAAACAGAUUUUAGUUUCU